GAUGAACGCUGGCGGCGUGCCUAAUACAUGCAAGUCGAGCGGACGGACGAGAAGCUUGCUUCUCUGAUGUUAGCGGCGGACGGGUGAGUAACACGUGGAUAACUUACCUAUAAGACUGGGAUAACUUCGGGAAACCGGAGCUAAUACCGGAUAAUAUUUUGAACCGCAUGGUUCAAAAGUGAAAGACGGUCUUGCUGUCACUUAUAGAUGGAUCCGCGCUGCAUUAGCUAGUUGGUAAGGUAACGGCUUACCAAGGCAACGAUGCAUAGCCGACCUGAGAGGGUGAUCGGCCACACUGGAACUGAGACACGGUCCAGACUCCUACGGGAGGCAGCAGUAGGGAAUCUUCCGCAAUGGGCGAAAGCCUGACGGAGCAACGCCGCGUGAGUGAUGAAGGUCUUCGGAUCGUAAAACUCUGUUAUUAGGGAAGAACAUAUGUGUAAGUAACUGUGCACAUCUUGACGGUACCUAAUCAGAAAGCCACGGCUAACUACGUG
rnacentral:rRNA from 1 species